UUGCUUAGUCAUGCUUUGCAAUGUAUGUUCAAGCAUUUUUUUACUCUCAUAAAUACUAGAGAGAAUAAGAUGGGAUGCCUGGAUAUGGAGAUUUUUUCUCUUGCUCUCAGUGCUCAGGUGAAACACACAACGGGAUUGAAAAUGGAUUAGAUAAGCGUUCUUGAGGGAGUAGAGAACGCUGGGAACAGUCAGUGCUCUGGCCUAUUAAUUGUGAAGGAUGCAAGAAGCUGCCUGGCCCUCUUCUGGUUUGGAAAAGCACAGAAUUUAUAUUGGCUUGUAUCCGAUUUACAGCAUUCUUCUUGUGUGUGCACAGUGUUUUGUUUUGUUUUGUUUUCCCUCCUGUCUUUAACUGCUUCAGCAUAUCCAGAGUGUCUUCACAAUUGUGUUCGGAUGUCCUUUCCCUGACGGAUCCCAUGUGCCUUAAAAUGUCAGUAGGGCUGGAAAUAAAACUGUGACCCAUAAAUUAAUACUAAAACUCUUGUGUAAUUCCAGCUUGUCAAGAUAUAAAAUUUUACUUUUAGGCAAUUUAUUCUCUAGGGCAGUGUUCUCUGCCUGAUUAUUUUAGAACCUCACUGUUGAAUUCAAUGGGAAGGAAGUGAGGCUGUGACAUGUAUAUAAUUUGUGGACCCAUUUUUAUUUAUUCUUGUAUAUUUUCUAUACGGUGAGUGUGGAGGAUAGUAAGCGCACGUAAUUAUUAUGCGUUAAUUAGUGCCCUAAAGGUCUAUGUAAUUAAACCUUUAAUAGCAACAGAUUACAAAUAUUCCUGGGAAAUUGGUGUCCCUUUGCAAAGCAGGGCUGUUGUGGUGCAGCCGACAGACCGACAGCUUGCACCGUCCAACACAGAUUUUGCUAUGGGGAGAGAUAAGAACACUGGUAAUGAAGGGCAAAAUGUCAGUGUCACAGUUUUAGCAGCUGAAUCUAUUCUGUCUGUCUCCUGCCAAAUAGCCUAUUAAACCUUUUAGCAUUAUGCUGCCUGUGACACUAGGAGCCGGUCCCAGUUAUACUAAUAGCUUUACUGUGAGAGAGAGAGAGGAGCGUGAAUACCCUUCAUUAGUCCUACAGACAAAAUCCUGCAUAGCACAUGGAACAGAAAGUUGCUUAAAACGUGUUGUUCUCAAUGUAUUGUAGCAUGUAAUGUGUUAAUUAUCUAUGUAUAAUAUAUGGCAUCAAUUGAGUAUUGCUGUUCUACUGAAGUUCCACAUUGGAUUGAAAGUAUAAAACUGGUGUAUAUAAUUUCCAUUUAUUCCAUGGCUUCUGUCAAACUAAUUGACUCUUUACAAGCCCCUUUGUCUCUUUUCUUCCAUGUGUACUCUUUUAAAAAGUGCUCCUUAUAAUUCCCGGUAUAGUUCAGGGUGACACAAAGAAAAUGUCCCAAACUGAGCAGAAUUUCAUCACACAGACUUGUCAGAAACAUUUUGUGAGCCAUGCUACACUUCAAUAUAAUGAACUGUUAUCCUUUCCUAAGGUUUGCUUCCUUACUUAGCAGUUGUCCAGAAAUGCGGUAUGCUGUUUGCUUAUGCACCAUUAUUUCUUUCACAGAAAAUGCCCUUUUUUUGUUCCACCCUCCCCCCCGAUACUGGUCAAGAACCCAAUUUAGUUUGGUUUCUCAAAGUACAAAUAUUAUUAGAGGCUUAAGAGUUAUGGUAUUGCUUAGAAACAGAUUUCAAAGACUUUUAUCCUCCUCGGUUGGGUAUCUCGGUUCCUAUGGAAUUGCGGAGUGCAAGAUACCGUAGGAAUCUGCCUGAAAAGCUUAAGCAGACAGUCAACUCCUAUUCAUGGCAAGAUACCACACUGUGCUGAUUCAAAAAAAACCCCAAUCAAACCAAAAGAAGUCAGAGGUAGAUGUGUAGUCUGUGAAUGUUUAGUAGGAAUUAAACCCAAACUGAAGCGGUAAAACAUCUCAGGUACUAUGCAAUGUUCCGCAUCUCACUGUGUGUACUUGGAAGAAGAACCUCGCAAGAUGCUCACUUUGAGUAGCUGCUUUGGAAUAACUAGGGGAGACAUUCUGUUGCAUAGUGUUUGAUCGUAUUAUUCCAUAAACAAAGACAACCCUCAGCUUCAGUAAGACAGGCCUGUGUUGUAGAUUAACAGAACCAUGAAAUAAAAAAUAAAUCAUCAGAAAUGAGGUAUGCAUGAGUGAGCAGAGAGGGAAAUGAGCCCUGAUUUGCCUGUGUAAGUUCAGUUCCUCCUGUGUACAUGGGUGAAUAAGUAGCCUUGAAUCAUGUGGUCACGUACUGUGGGAACAGCUCAGCAAAAGCGGAGUGUGGUUUCUGCAGCGCUCCUGUCCCUGUGAGACCACGCUCUGCAAGUGUGUGCAUUCCCACACAUUUCUUCAAUGCAUUUAUCUUCUCUUUAGCUUCCUCUCAAACUAAUUGAAUAAUUCAACAGCUUAUUUCCUGCAAAGAUCUAUUGGCCGAUAUGUUUACUUUCAACUUUGCUGUUGGCUGGGGUUGUAAUUGCUGCAAAUCUCCGCGUUUUAAGCAUUAUGAAAGAGCUGAAGCUAUGUUUCUUUCUCAUAGUCCAGUUUCUCAUACACAGUUGGUAUUCUUAUGCAGUGUUUGAAGAGCUCCUGCUGUGCUUUGCUGGCAUAUCCAUCUUUUGAUAUCUUUCCGAUUAAAAGAGGUUUUCCCUUGUCAGGCUUUCAAGUCAGCAGAUGCUGAAGAGGCAGGCUGAGAUGUCUAAGCUCAGGGAAGAUUUUGUCCCCAAAGCUGCAGUUUGGGGAAACAUACAAGAAAUUCCUGCUCCCCAUAUGCUAUUGUACAGAACAACAUGUGGUCCUCUCCCGUUCUUACUAGGGAAGCGGUGUUUGUGAACGCAAGCUUUUUCUGUCGCUAAGAUGGAUGUACUCAUGUUUGCAGGGCUUUUGUGCACGGCCAUCAGUUAGUCUGAUAUUACUUCCAGGCUUUGAUUUCGUGUAGAAUGAAUUAAUCUUGAGACUUCCGGAGUGGAAAAAAAAACAUCAGAAGAGGGAAAUCCAGUGUUUCUUCAACUAGCAUACUCUUUAAGGACAGAAGAUGUGCAAAUUUCUUUGGAUUUCUUUGUGUCAGACUGCAGUUAGAGCUAGCAGUGCACUUACAGGACUCCACCGCUGGCUGCUUCUUCACUCAGCCUUUUGCUCCGUGAUGGGUACUGCAACGCAGUCUCAAAAUACACGUAGUGUUGCCAUACGGUCUGUUUGUGUGUCACACAUGCAUUGGUUGUGGUUUUCAUUUUCAGAACAGUCCCUUCUGAAUGUUCUCAUCACUCGGAAGGCUUCUUCCUUUACGCUGGCACAGGGGAGAUUUCACAGCUUCUGCUUAAAGGCGCCUUCUCUUAAGUAACUGAGGUUAUUGUAGCACAUCACUUGAGGGGCAUACAAGAGGAGAGACUUCAUCUGAUAUUCCAAAAUAAAUGCCGACACAGUUUUUCAGUUAAAAAAAGUUUGCCAGAAUAUUUUAGAAACUAACAAUUAUAUGCUAAUAUUUCUAGACUAACAGGAAUAGAAAUUAGAAUUAAUGAGUUCUCUGCAGGUACAUCUGUCACAUAUUUAAUAAUACGAGGCAUAUUUCAUGCUGGUAGCACUCUGCCAGCAUUAUGCAACCCUUGUGGUAGCUCUCUGCAGUAAAUACCAACCUUGAUGUGCUACUGGAGAAAACAAAUGUUAGUUUCCAGGCCUGACAGCCUGAGGUGCCUGCGUGUCUCCCCUGAAGUCAGUGGAUAUAAAGGUUGCAUGGACUGUCUGUAAAAAGCUGUGCCUCGGUGGAUUGAUGGUGUUACUUGUGACUGAAAAUGUCCUUCUCUAAAACCUCUUUCUGAUUUAGAGCCUCUGACCACCGCGGCUCUGCAUUGCGCAGUCGGGUGCAUCACUUUGCAGUUGCUGGAGCCUCGAAUACAGAGCAGCAGCGAUUUCCAAACAUACCUGUUGAGCUGCUCAUGUCUCCUGGGAUAAAGACCGAGAUAAACGCUGCAUAAAUAUAUUUGCUUAUGCAACGAAGUUUUAACCUGGAAUGAAGCUGCCAAGCUUUCUGUGGAUGCUAAUCAAGUGACCUGAUUUGUCUCUGUUGCCGUUCUCCCCUGUGUAAAAUUAGGAUUAUAAUUGCACCUAUCUGGAAGAAUAAAUCUUUUUUAGCACUGACACAGUGUUGAUUCAAUAGAAAUAUGUCUUCAUCUCUCUUAUGAUGGAAAAAGAGCAAAGGUGCCAAGCACUGCUGUCCUUGGCAUUGUACUCACACUGACAAAGCCAUCCUCUUCUUUUGGCAAACUGUGUUCGUUCAAAAUAAACAGGUAGAUACUGGACUCUUCCAGUCUUUCCAGAAUUAAACAAAUUGCAUCCGUGGUUCAUUUAACCUGAAAUUUCUAAGAGAGUUUAUGUAGAAAUGGAAACGCGCUUGAAAUGUUGCUGCCUUUACUCAUUUGGCUUGCUCUGAUUUUUAGUCACAAGUAAUAUAACCAACUAUUCGUAGUUUUCAGUAUGAAGGUUGAAUAUAAGGCACGUAGGCCUGAUAGUUUCAAGAGCUGCUGCAGCAGUUCUACCUGUGUGUGAAAUUGGUGUUGGCAGGUGUUGAAUUCACUUCCCAAAAUAGGAGACCCACUCUCAAUUGGUUCGAGUGUGGUCCUGGGAGAUGUUCGUGCUUCUUUUUCCACUACACACUUCAGGAGAGGAUAAUUCUAUACGUGGUUUCCAGAAAUAUCUCGUGCUGCACCUGAGUUAUGAGGCUUUCCUGUUGCAGUGUUGGAUGCCUCACACAUAUGAGAUAAUACUCUCUUUUUCCUUUCCUUUUCAGCGUGUCAUUAUGACUGUCAUUUUGUGCCUUGCUUUAAAAUUGGUUUCUCCUUGCAGACUAACCUCCAGUCAAAAUGACAUCUUGUUUGCAGAUGGAUCAUCUUGGCUACUGUUUAGGAGCUCCUGAAGCAUAUGUUAGUGACAAAAAUUAUCCAUCGGUACUUACUAUUCAUUCCUCCACAAAGGCUUUCAAAGAAUAACUACAUUUCUUUUUAUUUUUAAGGAUAAAGAUACAAGAGUUGUUGAUAAGAACUGUUGAUGUCUCACCACGGUUAGUGUCCCUGAACUAAAGAAACUGGUGUAGUUUGCCGUUCUGUUGCUUUAAUUCUGAGCUGUAGCAUCUGAAAAGACUGCUUUUAAAGGGGAAGAGGAAAUAGCAGGGUGAUGCAAUCCCCGUGGUGUAGUCCUGAUGACUGCAGGCCGAACGCGUGGGCUUUAGCAAGUCACUGUUCUCCCUCGGGACGUGUCUGCGCUGGACUUUGCAGAGUAGCUUGGAGGUGUCCAACCUGACCCAGGACCAGCCUGUCCAGACCCAAACGAGCCCCUGGCAGAGCCCUGGGGACCUGCCAGCUCUCACUCCAACCAGCUGGGCUCCUUUGGAACUUGUUUGGUUUCUAGACGUUGCAUCUCAGGCUUCAGAAAGGACCUACCUAGUUCUGGUUUUCCUUGUUUCAUCUAGGGGAAAUGUUACCUGUGCUAUAGGCAAAGCUUUCUUGCUUGUGAAUAACAAAUGCGAGGUGCAGUCAGUAGUUUUUGUAGGACAUCUUUAACUUUUUAAGGGCUGCGCUAGCAUCAGCGACUCAGCAAGAAAGUAUGUUGAAGUGAAAAGGGAUCAUCCAUUCUUCCGAAAGAGAUCCUGGAACAGCAUGGAGAUAGCAAUAACUCUCUUUCGGUAUACUAAACUAAAUUGCUGAGAAUGAUGAAUGAGGGGGAAAAAAAUGGUUUUAAUUCUCUUGAUCUAAUCUGUGGAGUUUAAUUAGGUAUCCAGUUUUAAAACCAGUUAUGUUUGCAUGUGGCUUUAGCACUGCCUCUUAAUUAGAAGAGAAAAUGUGACCGUGUUAUUCUCUCACAGACUUCUCAGUAAAUGGUCUUUAAGGUUGAAAUUCCCAUCAGAAAUAUUAAGUAUUCUUUGUGAAAGAGAACAUUAUGGGAACAUUAUAGACACUUCAUCUGAACUGGUUUCUCCACCUUUCUUCUGUGAAUUCAUCUGCCUCCUACUGCCAGGUAUCUGUAUUGUAUAUUUUGUAAGAGGGCAGCUCAUGCAUUGAAGAUCCUUAUUGAUCAGCCGUGAUUUGAAGAAGUGCUAUGCAGACUUGGCCUGAGUUCAGCAGAAGUCAAAUCAAGGACAGGGCUGGCAAGUGUUCAGGCUCAGGCACCACAAUGCUGAAAUCUGCAUUUAUUCUAAUCUGUCCAGAUAUGAUUUCUGCGGUGCAGCCAGUGGCUAAGGCUGACCUUAAAUCCAAAGAAUCCUUGACUGUUGGUCUGUUUCCAAAGGCUUAAUCCUUUUUUGUCUUGAGUUCCUUUUGUUUCUCCUUUGCCUCCACAGCAUUGAAUGAUAUUUCUGCUGCUGUUUUAUUUUUCCCCGAAGCAGUCCUGCACAUCACUUAUGGAUUAUUGCUAUUUUUUCCACUUCCUUUCUGAAGUAUCCGUUUCACUUAGUCCUAUUUCUGCAGCGCUGUUUGGGCUGCCAUGCAAGCUCACUUUGGAUUGCAUCAGUGCUCCCGUCAGCCCGCAGCAGGAUCCCAAUGGGAGUCGGGGCUGAACACACAGCAUACGCGCUUCUCCCUCUCCCCCUGGGCUUAAGCGUUGGAAACCGAGCGCAGGAAUCUUCCUAGCACCGUCAUAGCACAGACCGACAGUUCAGUGAGUGAGUGUUACAAAUACUACAACUGGAACAAAAAGAGGAAAUUAAGAAACAAGCUGUGCUGCCUAAAGUGCCCAUCUGUGAUCUUUGUAGGUAACCUAACGAUGCUUUAUGUUAUUUCAUAGAUAGGCUCGACUGUCUGUCACUGUGCAGGCAAGACAUCUUAUCCCAUUCUGCUCAUUUCCUUCAUGACGUCCUUGUGCCAAUGCAUGUCCCGUGUGCACCUCGAGGAAAACCACUGCCUUCUGCAGGCUGACGGCACCGAGGAAGAGGUUACUGAGAGCAGGACGGGGAGUUCCUGACCUCGAUUUCAGUGCCCGGCUUUCUAGUGUCUGGGUUCAGCAAUUACAGAUGGAAGUCCGUGUGAAUCCCUGGAGCUCACACCCUGCAAGCAGGGAGUGCUCACACAGCCUGAUUUCAUACACACUUGUAAAAGACAUUGGGAUGGAUAGAAAUGUUGUAUCAUAGCUUCAAAUUCAAUAACCUCUACAAAGUACAUAUGAGUUAGAAUUUUUCUGAGGCUUAUGUGUACAUUUGUUUCAGGGACAGCAAGAUGCACACCUUACCAGUUACAUGCUCUUCAAGAUAAAAAGCAAACAAACACCAAAUCAAUCCUCUUAAGAUUUCUUUUUUAAUAUAGCCAUUGCAAUGUAUUUUUCUGUCUGACUUGUUUUCUUGGAAACAGCUGAGUCAUUUCUUGCUGAAGAGCUCUCCAGAAUUUGUAGCCAAUGGCAUGGAAAAUUUUGCUGCAAAGAUUUAUAGGAAGCUGAAGUGGAGUUGUUUUAAUGGGGAGCGGCAGGCAGUGUACAGGAUGGAAUUCAGGGAGCCCAGAGUGUAACACACUCACAUGGAAACACAACCUUAAUGUUACAUCGUCCAAGUGAAUAGAACACGAAAGGCUUUUAUUCUGCUAAAGGAACAUAAAAUAUUUUAAAACAACUCGAUCUCUUUUCACUAAUAGUGUUCAUGCGGGUAGCAAGCCUAGCAUAUUAGAUGGAAAUCUGACUGUUUUUGUAAAUCUGAGCAAGAUAACAGGUCUUUGGUUUCACUUGGAGUGUAGAGUUUGUAGCUGCUUCCCGCUGUGGCUGGAAGCUUUUCUGUUCGUAGCAGGCAACUGUUUUCCCAUACGCUGAGAUUCCUUAUCACAUACUCGGUAAGUUUCCAUAUUACAAAGGUUGUGUAAAUUGAAUUACACUACCACCACCUAUGGAUUCAGGGCUAUCUUAUUUGCAUAACAAGCGGUCUUGCAAACAGUGUGCGUACUGUACACUCCCCAAUUAGGCUUUCUUUUCAAUCCUCUUGGUCGUUCAUAAAGAGAGGGAAGGUCUUUUCUUUGGUGGUGGUGUUGCAAAGAAAAGCUGCUAAUGAAGGAAUGAUGAAUGGUCUGAUUGUGUUGCUGUUUGUAUAGUUUCACCUUCAUUUGCAUCAGUACCAGGCACAGAUCCCGAGACUCAUUUUCCAGUUUUCAGUGCUCCUCUUCUUUGGCCCCUGCCUGCACUAGAACCAACCAAACAAGCACAUUUAUCUCUGCCUCCUAGGAUACAGAAAAGGAAUAUUUCCCUUCUUGCAUCAUCGGGGCCUACGCGUGGUGGAAUGUGGACCUCUCCCCAAACACUUCUCCCAUCUUCUGCUGGGGGUUGAUUUGGAAAUCUGACACCCGCUGGAGGAUCCGCAAAGUGUACACAUCACUGUCCUUUCCCUUGGGAACGCUUAAUGCAUCAUCUCUAAGUGUGGAUCCAUUUCCUGCUCCAAGGAAUGGAUCUCUUAGUUAGGAUCCUCCUGCAGCAGCUCCCACACAAGGUUUGGCCCUGUAAAAAUAACUCCCCUCACCCCCAAACCCAGAGAAAGCACGUAAGCAGAGUGUCAGAUUGCUUACAUAGCAAACCCCUGAAUUAUCCAAAUCAACAGACUGUGAGUCCGUCCUGCAGAGCAAACAGUGGAGCGAUCUCUCUCUCCCCAUAGCAGCGACUAUACGCAACUCCCAUUUGACAAGUGACUCUUCAGUUCUGGAGUUCUUUGGUUCUUCCUAUUUUUCCCGUCAUUUUGAAAAUAUAUCAACUGCCAAAAAAUAAUGAUUUUCUUUUAAAGAAAAGAAGAAAAAGAAAAUUAAAGAAUGUGGCCCUUUGUUUUCUCUAUCUGUUCAGGGAACAAGCUUCAUUUGAUUGAAUGCCAGGGAGAGGAUAAUGCAGUCUCCCAUUAGGCUUGUUUGCAUCUUUUUCCAGGAUGACAGUUUAAGUCUGCUGGCUACAGAUGGCCUUUGACAACUGACAACACUUGCUGUGAUGCCAGCGUGUGACUUCAUCGGUGUGACACUGCAUGUGACUGCAGCUUUCUUCCUCUUUUGCUUGCAGAAACUGUUCUUCAUUCCAGUAGCACCAGAAUAACAGAGGUUUCCCUUGCAUAAAAGAACCCAAAGCCUAAAACAGCACUGCUGCUUCUGCUGGAAGACACUGGGAGCUGCAAAAACAGUAUUGUUGGAAUCUGUUUGUUUGGGGCUUUAACCGCCGAGUCUGAAAUUAGCUUGGCCAAAUUGGGUAAAGCAUCUUCAGAGUUUCUAUAUGUUUUUGAACUAACAGUUUCCAAUUCUGUUAAGGCCCACCUGGCCGCGUAAGGGUUUCUGUAACAUCUCAUCCCUGUGCACCAGCGUGCUUCCCAAGGAAGGGAACACAGGCUCUGCAGAGCUGGCUGGUUCUGGUGCAAAGCCUGUGGCCCUGGGCUGGAAUUUGCAGAAGCAGUUUUUGUCUCGUCUGAGUCUUGGCAACCUCAGGGAAUGCUACAAGUUGAAUGAAUGAAGUCAUCCAUCAUCUAGCAGUGACUGGAGUAGGUUGAACUCAUUCCCAUUCUGCCUCUUGCUUUAGACACAGAAACAAAGUAAGGUUUAUCUUCUAGACUUUUCUUUUUACUGCCUUUAAACAGUUUGCUCUGUGCUUGGUAGCUAUUAUAUUUUUCUAAUUUUUAUUAUAACUGUUUGAUCAAAACAUGGUCCUAGGGCCUAUUCUAGCACAGCUAACUUAAUAUUUGCCUUAAAAAAAGGAGGUGGGCAAAUAGUUUUAUCUUUGCUUCAACAUUUUUUUCUGUUUAUUGUUUUAGCCAGCUAGAGAGCUGAGAUAGGCGUAUAGCGGUACAGCUCAUAGUGCGAACGCAUGCCGCCAAAGUAGUCCAUCGCAGGCCUGGACUGGGGAUGAAGUUUAGCAAAUACUGGGCUUCGUAACAAGACAAUAGCCAAGAAAGUUAAAUGCUGUGGAGGAACAAAACUCCAGUCCUAGCAGAAUAUAGUGGUGGUGUUAUCUGUCAGCACCUGAAUUGCAGCUUGCUCUGGCAGACAUGGAAAUACUUUGUGAAUGCCAGGCACGUGGACCACGAGCAUUCGCGCUUCUAGGGAGUUCUCUGCUGCGUGUCCCAAGAGGGGAUCGAGCUGGUGGUGGCACAAGGAACAACUGCCUUGCGGGUGCAUCAGUGUGCCCAGCUGGAAUAAGAGUUGAUCAACAGAAACAAAAAUACUAGGAGUCAUAUUUUUCAUUCUUCUUUCUUUUUAAUGGAACUACAGGAAGCCUUCUCUGAACUGUAUGGUACAAGCAUUUCAAAGUCUUCAUGUUAGCCAUUCAGCUUUAGCAAAAUGAUGUAGUUUUCAAGAUCCAGGGAACAAUGAGGACUAUUUAUAAUAAUCUCUGUUUGUUCAGAGAUCCUGUCUUCACCUUGGAGUCACACUCCUGUGAGAAUGCCACUGUCAUGGGGCUGUGGACCAUAUGAGAGAAUAGGAAAAUGAAUAUGUUUUUAUCUGAAACUUUAUUUUCUUUGAAUGACAAUGUUCUUGAGUCUGGCCCACUGUGAAAAACAGAGGACAGCCUAGGAGAGGAAUGAAAAAGAACAUCCCGGGAUUUGUAUUUGGUAUUGCUAAGGAGAACCCUGCUUCUGCAGAGCAUGAGGAAAUUCCAUAACACUUUCAGAAGACAGUUUAAUAAAAUAAAAUUGAACUAUCCUGGAUAAAUAAAUUGCCUCAAUUAGAGGGACGUUUUGGAAACAAAAGAUUCUGAGCAGUUGGUUCUGGCUCCCUACUGUAAUCAGGCUGAAUUAGCCUUUGUCUGAUGUGUGACUCAGAAUAGGUCUGUGACUCUCUUUACAAGAAAACUUCUUCAAGUAUUACUAGUAAAAUGUUCUAUUCCCCACAUCCUGCCAAGAAAGGGUGGGACAGAUGCUGCAGAUUUAGAACUUCGACACUUGUCCCAUCUGGUCAUAUGGUAAUUUAAGAGAUGGCAAAAUAGAGGAAUGACACUGACAAAAAGAAUUUCUAUCCCAGUUUCUUCAGUCAUGUGGCAAACAUGUUGGAUGAACAAUCAGGGUGGCAUCCAGCGUGUUGGAAGUGCUGAGUUACAGUUCCUGUGCUGUUCUGAAACCCAUCACCUCCUCUGUCAGGCAGAGUGUUUGAUCCCUUUGAGCUGGCAGGCAUGUGGCCGGCUAAAUGUCACCUCUGUUGUGAUGCUCAAACCACCUCUUCACAGACAUAGCCACCAAAAUGUUAACAGGGUUUCUGUAGCGUAUCUCAAUACAACUCCUGUUCCAAAAGACCUUGGGUCCAAAAUACUGGUUACUUCUUGUGCCUUUGAUCCUUGUGACUGUGGAUGAAUAUCUGCUCUUUUCUUUUGAGAUUCAAGAACAUGUGAAUUUUCCCCGUGUUUAGCCUGAUCUUUCCCUAUCUAGUGACUGUGAAGUUGAGCCCUUGGAAAGGACGGAGAAGAAUAGCAGCUGCUUGGCUGUGAGAAAUCACUUUGGCUGGCAGUUUGUGAAAGAACACAGUCUGUUGACUGGUUGUGAUAUAAAUAUUCAGGGCUGGAUUGACAGUAUGCAGGACAUGAGCCUGCUGGGAAUAGUGAAACUGAGCCAUGACUUCUUUCCUUCUUUUGUAAUCCUUUUGUGAAGGCGCAAAGGGUGUCCAGCAACAGGUUUCUUUCCUUCCCAAGAUAAGCCGUUAGAGGACAAAUCAAACUGAGCGAUGAGGAGUUUUUGUUGGUGUUUUUUUCCACUUGGUUUCAACUUCUGCAAACAAAGCCAGAGCGGCAUAACAAAUGUGAAAUAAGGUCACACUUGGAAAAGUCUGAAGUUAUGCUGUCUUUCGGUUGGAUUUCUGGUGCCGUGGUAGGGCUACUUCUACAGUCCCUUGGGGCUGAGCAGAAAUAAUGGGAGCAUGCGCUUCAGCAGGUUCUCAGGGCUCCUUCCUGCAAUUCAGCUCCUCUCUUGGUGCACCCAGGAUUGCCGUGGAGCUGCGACUUCCUCACUGCCUUCAGCAAAACUCGCAUGGACAGGAUUUCCUGCCACAACAUCUGUCUUAGUGAAAGCUUUCCUAUCACAGAGAAAAACCCGCUGAUUCAGACCCUCUGACAAGCGCAAACUAAACCACACCUUCUACUAUGAUCAAAUGAUGGCUUUUUGGUGGCAAUUCCAGCAAAGGGAUCACUUGUGGUUUUUCUCUCAUUCACUUUGUCAAACCGUGGCUGUCACAAAAAGCUCUGGCACAUGGAAUAAGACUGGGAAACGGACCACAAGGCAAACGAUCCCGGAAAGGUUUGCCUUUCCAAUCCAAGCAAAUCCAAAACAUCUGCAAGAGGAACAACUAACCGAUAAAGG